UAUGUCUGUGAGCGGCACACUGCUCAGUAACACGUAGCUAACCUACCCUUAGGACGUGGACAACCCCGAGAAAUUGGGGCUAAUCCGCGAUAGAUGUAUUGUCCUGGAAUGGUAUUACGUCUAAAGGUAUCCCAUACAUGUUUGGUAUAUGCCUAAGGAUGGGGCUGCGGCCGAUCAGGCUGUUGGUGAGGUAAUGGCUCACCAAACCUUUGACCGGUACGGGCCAUGAGAGUGGUAGCCCGGAGAUGGACACUGAGACAAGGGUCCAGGCCCUACGGGGCGCAGCAGGCGCGAAACCUCCUCAAUGCACUUACGUGCGAAGGGGCUACCUCGAGUGCCACCUGAUGAAGGUGGCUUUUCCUAGGUCUAAAAAGCCUUGGGAAUAAGAGGGGGGCAAGACUGGUGUCAGCCGCCGCGGUAACACCAGCCCCUCGAGUGGUGGGGAUGAUUAUUGGGCCUAAAGCGUCCGUAGCCUGCCGUGUAAGUUUCCCGUUAAAUCCAGCGUCUUAAGCGUUGGACCGCGGGAAAUACUGUACGGCUAGAGAGUGGGAGAGGUCAGCGGUAUUCUGGGGGUAGGGGCGAAAUCCUUUGAUCCCCGGAGGACCACCAGUGGCGAAGGCUGCUGUCUAGAACACGUCUGACGGUCAGGGACGAAAGCUGGGGUAGCGAACCGGGAUUAGAUACCCGGGUAGUCCCAGCCGUAAACGAUGCAUGCUAGGUGUUGGGUUGGCCACGAGCCGCCCCAGUGCCGCAGGGAAGCCGUUAAGCAUGCCGCCUGGGAAGUACGAUCGCAAGGUUGAAACUUAAAGGAAUUGGCGGGGGAGCACCACCAGGCGUGAAGCCUGCGGUU
rnacentral:rRNA from 1 species